AUCCAGCUGGUGGAAGAGUCCUAAAUAGGACGAAAUGCGCGUCCUGCAU
rnacentral:hammerhead_ribozyme from 1 species